GAUGAACGCUAGCGGCAGGCCUAAUACAUGCAAGUCGGACGGGAUUCAGGAGCUUGCUUCUGAUGAGAGUGGCGCACGGGUGCGUAACACGUAUGUAACCUACCUUUAUCAGGGGGAUAGCCUCUCGAAAGAGAGAUUAAGCCCGCAUAAAAUCACAGCACAGCAUUGUGUAAUGAUCAAAUAUUUAUAGGAUAAAGAUGGGCAUGCGGAACAUUAGCUAGAUGGCGGGGUAACGGCCCACCAUGGCGACGAUGUUUAGGGGAUCUGAGAGGAUGGCCCCCCACACUGGUACUGAGACACGGACCAGACUACUACGGGAGGCAGCAGUAAGGAAUAUUGGUCAAUGGGCGGAAGCCUGAACCAGCCAUGCCGCGUGCAGGAAGACGGCCCUACGGGUUGUAAACUGCUUUUAUACGGGAAUAAACCCAGAUACGUGUAUCUGGCUGAAUGUACUGUAAGAAUAAGGAUCGGCUAACUCCGUG
rnacentral:rRNA from 1 species